rnacentral:lncRNA from 1 species
GCAAACCCUAGAACACCCAAAUCCAAACACGCCCACAAAACUUCCUGAUUACAAAAUCACUAAAUUCUCUAACAAAAUAAAAUCUCUAAGAUAACCAAUACAACUCAAACAAGCUCAAUUCAUAACCAAAUUACAAAAUGAAGAAUGAACCAACUGAUAACAAAAAUAUCACAAGAUGUCAUCUUAGUUUCAAAAUCACUCAUAAUUUAAAAAAAAAAAAAUUCUUGCCCAAUUAAUUCGACCGAGAACCUCUUCUCUCUUCGCCGCUUCUUCUUUGCUUUCAUAAAGCCCAGCUUCAACUAGAAACAUCAACCCCAAAGGAAAUCAAAAUCAGGAUAUAUAAAAAAAAAGUAAUUAUAGAUAAAGAUAAAACAAAACCUUUUCUAAGUCACGAGUUCUUUGUAUAUCAGCCUCUGUGGAUUCUAUAACUAAUAUUGGUUUCGUCUAAUUAGUUGGCGACGGCGACAAACUCAUUCUCUCUGAACUCAACAUUAAAAACAAUAAAAUACCCCUAACAAAAAAAGCCCUAAUUUUUUUAAUCUGACUUUCGAACCCUAACUUUGGCCAAGUUCUUCACAACACUUUCUAGGCGUCUUUCCAGGGGUAUUUUAGCUCAAGGAUGGCGGCUUUGAAGGUUUACAGCAGCGGCUUGUGAGGUAGAUCGUUAUUAGAGAGAGAGAGGUAGAGAAAGAGGGGGGGGGGGGGGGGG